UAGGGAAUCUUCCGCAAUGGGCGAAAGCCUGACGGAGCAACGCCGCGUGAGUGAUGAAGGUCUUCGGAUCGUAAAACUCUGUUAUUAGGGAAGAACAAAUGCGUAAGUAACUAUGCACGUCUUGACGGUACCUAAUCAGAAAGCCACGGCUAACUACGUGCCAGCAGCCGCGGUAAUACGUAGGUGGCAAGCGUUAUCCGGCAUUAUUGGGCGUAAAGCGCGUGUAGGCGGUUUUCUAUGUCUGAUGUGAAAGCCCACGGCUCAACCGUGGAGGGACAUUUGAAACUGCAAUACUACAGUGCAGAAGAGGAGAGUGGAAUUCCAUGUGUAGCGGUAAAAUGCGCAGAGAUGUGGAGGAAAACCAGUGGCGAAGGCAACUUUCUGGUCUGUAACUGACGCUGAUGUGCGAAAGCGUGGGGAUCAAACAGG
rnacentral:rRNA from 1 species